rnacentral:rRNA from 1 species
GGUAUCAGAAGUGCGAAUGCUGACAUAAGUAACGAUAAAGCGGGUGAAAAGCCCGCUCGCCGGAAGACCAAGGGUUCCUGUCCAACGUUAAUCGGGGCAGGGUGAGUCGACCCCUAAGGCGAGGCCGAAAGGCGUAGUCGAUGGGAAACGGGUUAAUAUUCCCGUACUUGGUGUUACUGCGAAGGGGGGACGGAGAAGGCUAUGUUGGCCGGGCGACGGUUGUCCCGGUUUAAGCGUGUAGGUGUGUGUUCCAGGUAAAUCCGGUUCACUUUAACACUGAGGCGUGACGACGAGGCACUACGGUGCUGAAGCAACAAAUGCCCUGCUUCCAGGAAAAGCCUCUAAGCAUCAGGUAACAUCAAAUCGUACCCCAAACCGACACAGGUGGUCAGGUAGAGAAUACCAAGGCGCUUGAGAGAACUCGGGUGAAGGAACUAGGCAAAAUGGUGCCGUAACUUCGGGAGAAGGCACGCUGACACGUAGGUGAAGUGAUUUACUCAUGGAGCUGAAGUCAGUCGAAGAUACCAGCUGGCUGCAACUGUUUAUUAAAAACACAGCACUGUGCAAACACGAAAGUGGACGUAUACGGUGUGACGCCUGCCCGGUGCCGGAAGGUUAAUUGAUGGGGUCAGCGCAAGCGAAGCUCCUGAUCGAAGCCCCGGUAAACGGCGGCCGUAACUAUAACGGUCCUAAGGUAGCGAAAUUCCUUGUCGGGUAAGUUCCGACCUGCACGAAUGGCGUAAUGAUGGCCAGGCUGUCUCCACCCGAGACUCAGUGAAAUUGAACUCGCUGUGAAGAUGCAGUGUACCCGCGGCAAGACGGAAAGACCCCGUGAACCUUUACUAUAGCUUGACACUGAACAUUGAGCCUUGAUGUGUAGGAUAGGUGGGAGGCUUUGAAGUGUGGACGCCAGUCUGCAUGGAGCCAACCUUGAAAUACCACCCUUUAAUGUUUGAUGUUCUAACGUGGACCCGUGAUCCGGGUUGCGGACAGUGUCUGGUGGGUAGUUUGACUGGGGCGGUCUCCUCCUAAAGAGUAACGGAGGAGCACGAAGGUUGGCUAAUCCUGGUCGGACAUCAGGAGGUUAGUGCAAUGGCAUAAGCCAGCUUGACUGCGAGCGUGACGGCGCGAGCAGGUGCGAAAGCAGGUCAUAGUGAUCCGGUGGUUCUGAAUGGAAGGGCCAUCGCUCAACGGAUAAAAGGUACUCCGGGGAUAACAGGCUGAUACCGCCCAAGAGUUCAUAUCGACGGCGGUGUUUGGCACCUCGAUGUCGGCUCAUCACAUCCUGGGGCUGAAGUAGGUCCCAAGGGUAUGGCUGUUCGCCAUUUAAAGUGGUACGCGAGCUGGGUUUAGAACGUCGUGAGACAGUUCGGUCCCUAUCUGCCGUGGGCGCUGGAGAACUGAGGGGGGCUGCUCCUAGUACGAGAGGACCGGAGUGGACGCAUCACUGGUGUUCGGGUUGUCAUGCCAAUGGCACUGCCCGGUAGCUAAAUGCGGAAGAGAUAAGUGCUGAAAGCAUCUAAGCACGAAACUUGCCCCGAGAUGAGUUCU